rfam:Brugia pahangi genome assembly, scaffold: BPAG_scaffold0000606
UUAGUUUACAUUAAUUUACAGGUACCUAAAACUUAUUUGGGUAUGUUAGUUGGCUCAUUAUGUGCUCUUAUGGGUGUAUUAACUAUUGCAUUACCUGUGCCAGUUAUCGUUGCUAAU